rnacentral:rRNA from 1 species
UUUGAUUACGUCCCUGCCCUUUGUACACACCGCCCGUCGCUGCCCGGGACUGAGCCAUUUCGAGAAACUCGGGGACGGUUAGCUUGUCGGCUUCGGCCGUCGUGUGGAUUGGAACCGAUUUAAUCGCAGUGGCUUGAACCGGGCAAAAGUCGUAACAAGGUAGCUGUAGGUGAACCUGCUGCUGGAUCAUUAC